UUUGAAACCCCAGCUCAACCACCCCUCCCAACCCCUACAACCAAACAAAACAAACCAUUUGACACCACUAGUAAAGGAGAUUGAACAU
rnacentral:rRNA from 1 species